rnacentral:ncRNA from 1 species
GAAAAGGUAAAGAUUGAGACAAGUAGAAUAUCCUUACGUUCCAGAGAGCUGAUGGCCGGUGAAAAUCAGCACAGACGGAUAUAUCGAAUACACUCAUGAACCGCUUUUGCAAACAAAGCCGGCCAGGCUUUCAGUAGUGAAAGAACGGACCUGAUCCGUUAUCAGGCAAAGUGAUAAGACGAAUGUUUGCAUUCUCUUAUUAGUAGGGUGGUACCGCGAUAAUCAAUCGUCCCUUCG